rnacentral:rRNA from 1 species
AGAGUUUGAUCCUGGCUCAGGAUAAACGCUGGCGGCGUGCCUUAGGCAUGCAAGUCGAACGAAUUCUAGCUUGCUAGAGUUAGUGGCGGAAGGGUGAGUAACGCGUGGGAACGUACCUAUUGGUGGAGUAUAGCCUUCCGAAAGGAGGGGUAAUACUGCAUAAGUUCGUAAGAAGAAAGGGCUUAACCGCCCGCCGAUAGAGCGGCCCGCGUCCUAUCAGUUUGUUGGUGGGGUAAUGGCCUACCAAGACGAUGACGGGUAGCUGGGCUGAGAGGUCGGCCAGCCACAAGGGAACUGAGACACGGUCCCUACAUCUACGGAUGGCAGCAACCGGGAAUCUUGGACAAUGGGGGAAACCCUGAUCCAGCGACGCCGCGUGGGGGAUGAAGGCCUUCGGGUUGUAAACUCCUUUUGCCAGUUAUAAUGACUUGGCGAAUAAGCACCUGCCAACUACGUGCCAGCAGCCGCGGUGAAACGUAGGGUGCAAGCGUUAUCCGGAUUUACUGGGCGUAAAGGGUUGCGUAGGCGGUAACUUAAGUCAAAACUCAAAUCUUCCAGCUCAACUGGAAAUCGGGUUUUGAAACUAAGUUGCUUGAGUCUUGGAGAGGUAGCCGGAACUUGCAGUGGAGCGGUGAAAUGCGUUGAUAUUGCAAGGAACACCGAUGGCGUAGGCAGGCUACUGGUCAAGUACUGACGCUGAUGCACGAAAGCUAGGGGAGCGAAAGGGAUUAGAGACCCCUGUAGUCCUAGCCGUAAACGAUGGACACUAGCUGAUUGCUUUUUAAAGUGAUUGGCGCAAGCUAACGCGUUAAGUGUCCCGCC